AUUAAUUAGCGGGAUUAUGUAGAACUAAAACCGGGAAGACCGUGGUUCUUGAGGACUGGAGCUGGACUCCCAUGCUAAGUGUUAAAAACAAGUAAAACAGGCAGACGAAUCCCACGAUGAAGCAGAGACUCAAGCCGACUCCAAGACAGGCGAGGCCGACGAUGUGGAUGGUGUUGAGCUUCUCCUCCAGGGACUCUGAAAUACAUCGACACGAUUCAAUGGAAGGCUGACCUCCAUCACCACGGCCUGCUCCGGGGACAGGCUGUAGUUGUGGGGCAACGGCGCGGUGCCGUUCAUCAGCUGCACCGCCACCUGGAACGACCCCAGACCCGUGAGCACAUCAUUGAUCGUGUUGUACCUGGAGACGAACGGGAGACACAGCUGGAAUGAUUUCGCUUCUUAUUGCAAGCAGCACAGUUAUUUGCAAAGAGUUUAACACUUUGAGAGACCACUUGAUGCUGUUGUUUGUCAAAGGAGAAAUAAAGUAAGUUUGCGCAUAUUUAGAGCUAGGAAGAUAAGUUGAACACAAAAUCUGCAAACUGGAGGAAUAAGUUUAACCCACACUCCUCUAUUAUCCGAGUAGUGAUAAAUAUAUUUGUUUUCCAUUUGUAAAAAAAAAAAAAAAAAAAAACUUUUUUGCAAUUAAAUUAAAAGCCAUUAGCCACUUUUGAGCAAAUUUUCAAAUAAGACAUUGAACCUGAAGAGGGCGCUGUUGGCAGUAUUGUUGAACAUGACCUACAGACCCGGACGGCCUAAAUCUCACAGUCUGCCACUGGUUGAGACUUUCAGGCAAGAAUCAGUUAAGAAGCAGUCUUUUUUUUUUUUUCUUCCAUAAUAUCUUUUUAAUUCUUCCCAGUAGUUCUUUGGCAACAGUGCGAAUAUAGAAUUAAAUUACAGUUUAUAAAACUGUUCAAAGGAAAUAUUUUAUGCACUCUUGAAAAGAUGUACACUUUUAUAUAAACAGUCAUAUUCAAUAAGUCGUAAUGUGUUCUGAUGAGGCUUGUUUGUCAGAUUUAAAGUAUCCUGUGAAAAUCAAAUGCAAGCAGAUAUUAAAUAUGCUUUUCAUGAAGCCCACAUUAAUGUAUUACAUUAUUGAUCAGAUGUAAUAUUCUCAUUUUAAAUGUUUUUCUUUCUUUAGCUGUAAGCAGAAAAUUAUGAUUAACAGAAAUAAAAUGUGCAGAAUUAAUUUGUUUCACUUUGUGAAAUUAGUUCUUCAAAUAAACGUCUUAAAAUUCUCAUUUAUGAACAUGAGUGCAUAUAUUUCAUAUCAACAAGCAGUGACGUUGUCUCUUAGACUAAAAAGACUUGCUAUGUAUUACUAUCUAUCACACCAAUGGUGUCAAGAAGAAAUAUACAUAUCCCAUACUUGCUGAGACAACAGAGACUUUUGCCAUAUCUGUGAUUUUAGCUAGCUUGAAAGCUAGUACCACCAUUCCCCUCCAACUAAUGGGAGAUUUUAUCCCUCUUGGCCUGAUCACCAACACUGUCACUGGAUCCUGAACUUCCUUACUGAGAGAUUCCAGUCUGUCACUCUAUCCAGCUACAUGUUGGGACUCCUCAGGGCUGUGUGCUCAGUCCCUUGCUUUUCACAUUGAGGAAAACCCUGAUCACAAAAUUUUACAGAUGUUAUCAAAGUAUUUGGUAUUCUUCAUUUAAUUUCCAUUUGGUACUUUUGAAUAAAGGACGCGUGCAGACAACAACCUGGUGGUCAAUGCGUACAACAGAGAAAUGACAAUCAUCAGUGCAUCCACUCACAUGUAGAGAAGAUGGUGCCUUGCACUUAAAGUCCUCUGGGUUCAGAUCACAUUACCUCACCACUGUGUUUAUGAAAUACACCCAGCAGAGACUAGACAUUCUGAGAAAAAUGAAACAUUAUUUCCCAUCACUACCUUCUCAACUACUGCUGGGAUUGGAUGUGUUGACAUAUUGUAUCUUGGGUUGGUACUCCAACCACAAUGUAGCAGACGAGAAGGCCCUUCAGAGGACAGUGAGGACAGCUAACUGGAUCAUUGGAGUGACCCUACUACUCUCUCUCCAGGAUAUGUUUCAGAGCUCCUUCACAAGAGGUUACUGAACAUCAUCAGCGAUGUGACAAUAUAAUUGAUGGUACAAGAUAUUAUUUUAUAUAUGUAAUCUAAAUUAUUUCAUGAGUCACUGUUUUUCCCCCUAACUUGUUAAGAAAUGUUGGCUCAUUUUAUUGACGCUUUACAAUGAAUUGUAGUUUUAGUAGAGCAAGCAUGACUUUAAGAUCAA